UACGUAGGGGGCUAGCGUUGUCCGGAUUAUUGGGCGUAAAGAGCGUGUAGGCGCCAGGUAGGUCCGUUGUGAAAACUCGAGGCUCAACCUCGAGACGUCGGCGGAAACCCUCUGGCUAGAGUCCGGAAGAGGAGAGUGGAAUUCCUGGUGUAGCGGUGAAAUGCGCAGAUAUCAGGAAGAACACCCGUGGCGAAGGCGGCUCUCUGGGACGGUACUGACGGCUGAGACGCGAAAGCGUGGGGAGCAAACAGG
rnacentral:rRNA from 1 species